UCCAUUUGCUCUCUUUCCCUCCUCUGGUCUCCCCCCACUUUCCUUUCCUAAUAGGAGUCUACAUCUGGGAACCAAAAACAUGAGAGAGAGAGAUAGAAAGAGACAGAGACACAGACAGAGACAGACAGAUGAUGGAUGCUUCCAGAGAUCCUCUCAACUUGGCUGGGAGCUUCUUUGUCCAUGCUGUAAGACGGGCAUCUUGAGGAACACGCAAGGAAAGGAGAAUGAAGGCAUCUCACACGCAAGAUGGUCCAGAUGCCCCUUCGUCUUCAACAGAUUGAGGACAGUUGGCUGCCAUUCACUGCUUGCGAAGGUAAAAAGGCUUAAACUUCAGACAAAUCUGGAGGAUGAGAUACUAUGUGAAGAGAACCCUCAGCCAUUCCAGCCAUCCCAUCUGACACCAUAGACAUAUGAGUGAGAUUCUAGACAGUGGCUGUUGAGCCACUAGUGAAAUGUGGCUAGUAUGAAUUGAAAUGUAUUGUUGUUUUUUUAAGUUUUUAUUUAUUUAUUUUGAGAGAGAGAGAGUA